rnacentral:rRNA from 1 species
AGCAGCCGCGGUAAUUCCAGCUCCAAUAGCGUAUAUUAAAGUUGCUGCAGUUAAAAAGCUCGUAGUUGAAUUUCGGGAUCAAUAUGUUGGUCGUGCCUUGGUACGUACUAGCUCAUUGGUUUCUCCCUUCUGACGAACCAUGAUGUCAUUAAUUUGAUGUCAUGGGGAAUCAGGACUGUUACUUUGAAAAAUUAGAGUGUUUAAAGCAGGCUCGCGCUUGAAUACAUUAGCAUGGAAUAAUGAAAUAGGACAUUUGAUUCUAUUUUGUUGGUUUCUAGGAUCGAUGUAAUGAUUAAUAGGGAUAGUUGGGGCAUUAGUAUUCAAUUGUCAGAGGUGAAAUUCUUGGAUUUAUUGAAGACUAACUACUGCGAAAGCAUUUGCCAAGGAUGUUUUCAUUAAUCAAGAACGAAAGUUA